GCCAUUGUGGUGUAGUGGUUGGGCUGCUGGACUAGGACUCUAGAGACCAGGGUUCAAAUCCCCACUCGGCCA